ensembl:miRNA
UCUGGGGCGCCCCGCACCGGCGGGCAGGACGGCGGCAGCGCCGGGGCGCCGUCUCGGA